UCUUUAUAAUAUUUUUUAUAGUUUUAUUUCAGAUUUUUUUAUUAAUUAUAAAUAAUAUUAUUUUAUUGGGGUAAUAAAAAGAUUAAAAUAAUUCUUUUUAAAAUUUAACAAAAAUAAUUGGUUAUAUGAUCCUUUUUUAUUGAUUAUAAGAUUAAGU
rnacentral:rRNA from 1 species